rnacentral:snoRNA from 1 species
CUGCACAGCGAACACCCAAGUGUGCUUUGUAGUUCCCUUGGUUUCAGUUCUGUGCUAAAUUAAUCUGUACUUUUCCUCUGCAUUGGAAGGAUUUGCAUUCCUUUUACAUGUAUUCAGAAGGACAGAACACCU